GGAAAAGAACCAUCAAGUAUGGUGUAUUAGUAACAACCAGAGGAUUGCAAUGAAACCAACCAUGACUGGAUAAACGUUUGUUUAGUGUGUGUAAUUACCACGAACGCUUCUUCCAAAGUUGAAUGAGAAGGAAAUCAUGACGCAAGCGGUUUACAAAUGUUUCGUGUUAGGCUAUAAAAAUGGAUUUUAUCAAACAAAACGAACAUUCACUGUGUAGUUAGGACACUUGGCAUUACCACCAGAGGAAGAUCUUCAAAGUGCUGAGGGCCUGGCAGCUGCUAAGGCCCACACAAGAAGGGGGUGUGGAGCCUGGGCUGUGGGUAUGGGAGGAGCCUAUCUUCCACAACCCAUCCAUCCCUUUGAGAUCGGUUGAGUCGGCCACCCUGCAGAGGCAACUGAUGGCAGCGGGUUUACAAAGGCUGGGUGACCUGCGACUGCUGGGAGAGGAGGGGUGGAAAACCUCAUAAGUCCUGGCCCAACAAACAGGAAUUACUUCUCUUAGGCUGCUGGAGAGAUUCCUGGAGGAGGUCCAGGAGACACUGUCUGAGCCGGAGCUGAGCCCUAGGACCAUGCCUCAGGACUACCUGGCCUGAUGACUCCUUGCUGUCCCCAGUCCACCUGGUCGUGCUGCUGCACCAGUUUCAACUGUUCUGCCUGCGGCUGUGGAACCCUGACCUGUUCACCGGACAUGCUACCUGUCCCAGACCUGCUGUUUCAACUCUCUAGAGAAAGCAGGAUCGGUAGAGAUACUCUGAAUGAUCGGCUAUGAAAAGCCAACUGACAUUUACUCCUGAGGUGCUGACCUAUUGCACCCUCAACAACCAAUGUGAUUGUUAUUAUUUGGCCCUGCUGGUCAUCUAUGAACAUUUGAACAUCUUGGCCAUGUUCUGUUAUAAUCUCCACCCGGCACAGCCAGAAGAGGACUGGCCACCCCUCAUAGCCUGGUUCCUCUCUAGGUUUCUUCCUCGGUUCUGGCCUUUCUAGGGAGUUUUUUCUAGCCACCGUGCUUCUACACCUGCAUUGCUUGCUGUUUGGGGUUUUAGGCUGGGCUUCUCU
ensembl:lncRNA